UAAGCCCUUAAGAAGCGCCUUUUUUUUGUUUCUUUUCCAGCCGGAAGGAAAUGUCAGGGACUCCUGCCGCGGAGGAUAACUUAAAACGUCGCCGCGAGGUUUCCUGGGAGUCGGAGUCUCUUUCGCCCAGGUUUAGCGGGGGGACCGGAAGUGCCCUUCCGCAACCCCGGAAGUGGUCCAGCUGGUGCGGCCAUGGCGUCCGCGGUGGGUUCCGAGCCGGAGGAGAUGCGGCGCCGCGCGCAGGGACAGCUCGGCCCGGGGGACCCGGAGGAGGAGGAGGGCCAGAGCGAUGAGGCGCUGCCCCUCCACCUGGGGGAGCUGGACCUGACCUCCGAAGAGUUCAUCCUGGACGAAGUGGACAUUCACAUCCAAGCCAACCUGGAGGAUGCCCUGGUGCAGGAGGCCCUGAAGACGG